GAACAGCAGCAACUAAUUUUCUUAAAAAACACAUCUGGUUCCUGGGGCAGGGAAGCGAGAUGGAUGAUCAUGUUCAAAAUAAACUGGUAGAAUGGGACCUGGGUGAUUUACUCUCUACAUUUGAAGACAGGCACAUCGCUUUGCUUCUGCUACCUGUGGUGACGGCACCUACAAAAUCCGGAGAAAGACGGUCCGCCCCAGCUACGCCGAAUCUACAAAAGCUUUCAUAGGCAAAGAACAACCUGUCUGCCGAGCAGCAGAAGAUGGUGGCCACCUUUGUGCCACAACACGGCCACAGCUGACUGCUUCUAC